UGCUUCCUGUUGGGCUUCCUGCGGGGAGAGUUCCAGGGAGCGCAGCAAGAAGAGAA
rnacentral:pre_miRNA from 1 species